AUCUCGGUGCCCUAGUCCAGGGCAGGGAUUGCUGGGGAGAGGAGAGCAUCAGGGAAGCCACGUGCCCUUGUCCUGAUGGUCGAGGAGACCUGAGCCAGGGCACCUGCCUUGGUCCCCACGUGGUCCCUGCCCUGGGACUAGGGACUGCUGGGGAUGCGAGGGUUUUGCGCACUCCUGACCAGUAUGCAGUUGAUUUAUAAAGAGGCUUCCACGGGCGUCCAGUCCUUCAGGGACAGCAGGCAGGAGCUAGGAGAGAUUUCAGGGACAGGCCUCCAUGGAUCAGCCUCCGUGGGCGGGCCUCUGUGGGCAGGCCUCAGUGGACCUGCUUCCGUGGCCUGGCUUCCAGUGGCCCUUCCGCCCAUGGCAGAUUGUGGGUGAGCAAGAGAGGAUGGGCUGAAGCACAGAGGGAAGAUGGGAAGGAAAGCAGGUGCCCACGGUCCAGGCUGUCCUGGGCUGCUUCCUGCCUCCCAGUCGCCAGGCAGGGUUGUCACCUGUGCCCUUCGCCAGCGAUAAUCCUGCUCCUCAGGUUCCGCGGUUUGUUGGGAUGGCUCACAGCGAGGGUCCGAGGAGUCCCCGAGAGAAG
rnacentral:lncRNA from 1 species